rnacentral:rRNA from 1 species
CCUACGGGAGGCUGCAGUGGGGAAUAUUGCACAAUGGGGGAAACCCUGAUGCAGCGACGCCGCGUGAGUGAAGAAGUAAUUCGUUAUGUAAAGCUCUAUCAGCAGGGAAGAAAAUGACGGUACCUGAGUAAGAAGCCCCGGCUAACUACGUGCCAGCAGCCGCGGUAAUACGUAGGGGGCAAGCGUUAUCCGGAUGUACUGGGUGUAAAGGGAGCGGAGGCGGCAGUGCAAGUCUGGAGUGAAAGUGGGGGGCUCAACCCCCGGACGGCUCUGGAAACUGUACGGCGGGAGUGCAGGAGAGGUAAGAGGAAUUCCAAGUGUAGCAGGGAAAUCCGUAGAUAUUAGGAGGAACACCAAUAGCGUAGGCAGGUUACUGGAACGGUUCUGACACUAAGGCACGAAAGCGUAGGGAGCGAACGGGAUUAGAUACCCGAGUAGUC